AAGCCCCGGCACGCAUUACCGUGUGUCUCCAAAUUUGCACUUUGG
rnacentral:tRNA from 1 species